rnacentral:lncRNA from 1 species
GACAAGAAGCCAGCUCCUUCUGCUGAAGAGGAACAUAACGGAACAUGUAUAAUAGAAUCCCAACAAAUUGAAGAGGUGCAACCGAAUAUAUUCAGUAAUUUGACUUCACCUGCUGCAGUUGUUAAUGAAUCAAAAAAUGCCAAAGUAUUUGCAGAAACAGAUCUACUGAAAGAAUUAUCUGUAGGAGUAAUUGAUGAUGACGAACCUGAGAAACAAGAUCAUGAUGAAAUACAAAAGAAUGAAAUCUUACCUGGUGGCGAUGCCAGACAUGAAGCAAUCAUUGAUGCAUCAGAGGAACAACCAGUGGGAGUUGAUAAUGAAGGUCAAGUGAAAAAUGAUGAAU